rnacentral:rRNA from 1 species
CCUACGGGAGGCAGCAGUGGGGAAUAUUGCACAAUGGGGGAAACCCUGAUGCAGCGACGCCGCGUGAGUGAAGAAGUAAUUCGUUAUGUAAAGCUCUAUCAGCAGGGAAGAAAAUGACGGUACCUGAGUAGGAAGCCCCGGCUAACUAUGUGCCAGCAGCCGCGGUAAUACAUAGGGGACAAGCGUUAUCCGGAAUUAUUGGGUGUAAAGGGUGCGUAGACGGAAGAACAAGUUGGUUGUGAAAUCCCUCGGCUCAACUGAGGAACUGCAACCAAAACUAUUCUCCUUGAGUGUCGGAGAGGAAA